CCCCCAUAUCUGCUGAGAUACCCCAUAAAUCCUCAGCCUUAAUUGGAGAACCAUUGCUCUCACACCCAAGUUAGAAGCCUAAGACCCAGAAUUCCGCUCCUGAAGGCUGAACCUUCUAGCCACAACCUUCCUCUUGCGGAGGAAGUCUCUUAAUUAUUCAAAGCUUCAAUUUCUUCAUUUGAACAAUAGUUUUCAGCUUUCUAAGAGGGAAUAUACUCGUAUUAGUUCAUUUUUACACUGCUAUAAGAAAUACCCAAUGCCCAGUAACUUAAAAAGGAAAGAGGUUUAAUUGACUUACAGUUCCACACGGCUGGGGAAGCCUCCAGAAACAUAAUUGCGGCAGAAGGAGAAGCAGACGCCUCCUUCCAAAGGUAGCAGGAGCGACAAGAAUGAGGAGCAAAGCAGGAAGAGCCUCUUAUAAAACUAUCAGAUCUCGUGAGAACUCACUGACUUAUCACGAAAGCAUCAUGGGAAAAGCGGCCCCCAUAAUCGUCACUUCCCUUUUUCGGCAUACGGGGAUUACAGUUCAAGAAGCAAUUUGUGUGGGAACACAGAGCCAAACCAUAUCAAUACUACUGUAUGCUGAUAAGUCUAAGAUCAAGCUGACAGCAUAUUCAAUUCCUGACGAGGUUUUUCUUCCUGGCUUCCAGAGAAAGAGAGAGGGAAAAUGCUCUAGUGUCUCUUCUUAUGACUGCAAUAAUCCCAUCAUGAGGGUAACAGAGAACCACUCUAGACUGCUAAAGCCAAAAAGGAGACAGAUGUGUCUCCCGGAACCAAGGGCAUAA
rnacentral:lncRNA from 1 species